AUUGAACGCUGGCGGCAGGCCUAACACAUGCAAGUCGAACGGUAACAGGAAGCAGCUUGCUGCUUUGCUGACGAGUGGCGGACGGGUGAGUAAUGUCUGGGAAACUGCCCGAUGGAGGGGGAUAACUACUGGAAACGGUAGCUAAUACCGCAUAACGUCGCAAGACCAAAGAGGGGGACCUUAGGGCCUCUUGCCAUCGGAUGUGCCCAGAUGGGAUUAGCUAGUAGGUGGGGUAACGGCUCACCUAGGCGACGAUCCCUAGCUGGUCUGAGAGGAUGACCAGCCACACUGGAACUGAGACACGGUCCAGACUCCUACGGGAGGCAGCAGUGGGGAAUAUUGCACAAUGGGCGCAAGCCUGAUGCAGCCAUGCCGCGUGUAUGAAGAAGGCCUUCGGGUUGUAAAGUACUUUCAGCGGGGAGGAAGGGAGUAAAGUUAAUACCUUUGCUCAUUGACGUCACCCGCAGAAGAAGCACCGGCUAACUCCGUG
rnacentral:rRNA from 1 species